AGUGAUGUACAGGAACAAGAAAGUUGCCACGAACUCUGCAAUACCAGCCCUGUAGAAAGACCAUGAGGAGAGCUCACCAGGCUCAAACAAAGGAGCUGGUGGUGGCUCCUUGUAGUCCUUGUCUGUUUGAGCUGCAGUCCCUAUGGGUUGCCUUUCUGUAAACUUGUUUGCUCCUAGUCUAACAUCUUCUUCCUUGCCCUCCAUUGCUGUAUCUCUCACACACAGGAAAAGAAAUGAUGGGUUCUUUGAAUCUCUCAAGGC
rnacentral:lncRNA from 1 species